CCUAGAUGGAAUUUAUCGCCUGCCAAAGUCCAACAGGGCCCCAGCAGCCACUGUCCAGGACACCAUAGUACGCUGCACACAAUCCCACGACAAAAUUGCUCUCUGGUCGGCACUAUGGGACAAGACGCCACUCCUCUUCGAAGGCGCAAGCCUAACGUUCUAUCAAGACCACACGAGGUCCACCCUGCAGUGGCGAAAAGCUCUUCAACCCCUCACAAACCAACUGAGGACAGCCGGCAUUAAAUACCAAUGGAGGCCCCCCAGGCUCCUGGUGGUAAACCACGAAG